UACGGAGGGUGCGAGCGUUGUCCGGAAUCACUGGGCGUAAAGGGCGCGUAGGUGGCGCAGGAAGUCAACGGUGAAAGUUCGGGGCUCAACCCUGAAUCGGCCGUCGAUACUCCUGGGCUCGAGCACUGUAGAGGCAGAUGGAAUUCCGGGUGUAGCGGUGGAAUGCGUAGAGAUCCGGAAGAACACCGGUGGCGAAGGCGGUCUGCUGGG
rnacentral:rRNA from 1 species